rnacentral:rRNA from 1 species
AUUGAACGCUGGCGGCAGGCCUAACACAUGCAAGUCGAACGGUAACAGGAAGCAGCUUGCUGCUUCGCUGACGAGUGGCGGACGGGUGAGUAAUGUCUGGGAAACUGCCUGAUGGAGGGGGAUAACUACUGGAAACGGUAGCGAAUACCGCAUAACGUCGCAAGACCAAAGAGGGGGACCUUAGGGCCUCUUGCCAUCGGAUGUGCCCAGAUGGGAUUAGCUAGUAGGCGGGGUAACGGCUCACCUAGGCGACGAUCCCUAGCUGGUCUGAGAGGAUGACCAGCCACACUGGAACUGAGACACGGUCCAGACUCCUACGGGAGGCAGCAGUGGGGAAUAUUGCACAAUGGGCGCAAGCCUGAUGCAGCCAUGCCGCGUGUAUGAAGAAGGCCUUCGGGUUGUAAAGUACUUUCGGCGGGGAGGAAGGGAGUAAAGUUAAUACCUUGGCUCAUUGACGUUACCCGCAGAAGAAGCACCGGCUAACUCCGUG